UGGGCGACAGAGUGAGACUCCAUUAAAAAAAAAAGCCUUCAGGCUCAUCACCUUGGUGAGGCAACCACCAAUUUAAGUGACCUUCCAGAGCCCCCAGGCAUCCCCCUACACAAAUACUUUUUUCUAAGAGUGACUAAAAUUGGUGUUUCCUAACCUACAUAAAAAAUCACUUAGGUGAGCAGUAUAAAAUACCACUCACUUUUCCUCCCCUAUAAGAUUACAGAUAUAUCUAAAGUCUUCAGGUCUGUAUAUAGUAGUGACUUAGCUACAUCACUGGUUAAAGUAAAUGUGCCAGGACUGACUUCCCAGGUCUCUCAUAGGCACGCCCUUCAAACCCACAUUGAACCUGAAAUCCCAGUGUUCCAGGUUCAGUUGGUUUCCAAUGGCACCCAGGUGUCAGGUUGACCCGAUAGGAUGCCUUAGGUAUCGGGGCCGUGGGGGGAUGGGAGGAUGCAGGUGCCACCUUAAAGCAUCACACCAUCCCACCAGGCUGUUCCAGAAAACACAAAACUUUUUCAGACUCUGUCUCCAGAAAGGGACUUAGUCUCCAAAGAGGUUGGUUUUAUCUAGAUGAGUUGAUAGAGAAUGUCUGCUGGAAUUGGGCUCUGAUUCAGUCAGCGUUUGCUAUUUAAAUCAGUCUUAGAUAACUUCCCUAUCAAUUGCAUUCUCUCUUGCAUGAAAAUUACUUCCUGACUGCCUCCUCCUAGCUCAGUACUGUUCUAUUGCUUAGGACAGGAGUGGGCAGUGCCCUCGUAGAUGUUCAUGCGUGUACUGAUAAAAAUUACCUAUAACUCUUAGUGUGAUCUAACACUUCAAGCAGUAUCUGAGAGAAGGGGUAUCGGAUAUAAAACAAAUCAUGGCCUGCCAGAGAAGAGUCCUUCAGUGAGCUCUUGAGAGUUGAAGCCAAAGAGGCCAGAUGCUGAAGAACUUGGAUGCUGUCUUAAUGAGUUUCACAGUUAGCCUGUAGGUGAUGGAGAGUCAUAAAAGAAUUUUAAGUAGGGGAAUGACAUAAUCACACUUGCAUUUUAAAAAUACAGCUUUGGCUGUGAUAAGUGGGGAACGGGAUAAGGGUUUAACUUAUCAUGCACACUAAAUUACUUCAAAACAUAAUGCCUUCAAACAACAGCACAUUUGGUUGUGUGUGUGGCAGGGUGGAGAUCAGGAUUUCUGGAGCUGCUUAGCUGAGAGGUUUUGGUUAAGGGUCUCCCAGGAGGUUGCCAUGAAGGUGCAGGCUGGGGUCACAGGCACUGGAAGGCAUGGCUGGAGCAAGCAGACCAUUUCCAAGUGGCUCACUCUCAUAGCUGCCAAGUUGGUGAUUGCUGUUUGUAGAUACAUCCAGUUCCUUCCACAUCAACCCUGCCAUAGGCUGCUUGAGUAGUCUCAUGACAUGGCAGCUGGCUCACCCCAGAAUAAGGAAAUGACUUACUGCAAAGAACCACUCUUCCCCACGAGACUUCGAGAAGACCCGCUGUCACGGACUGAGUUGUGUCCUCUUAAAAUUCAGAUGUUGGAGUCCAAACCCCCAGUAACUCAGAGUGUGAACGUAUUUGAAGAGGUCUUUAAAGAGGUGAUGAAGGUCUUUGUCUCUGACAAUUUGCCUCUGUGACGUGGAUGGGACUGGAAGUCCAUUUGGAGCCCUGUCUUCUCCACCUAGGGAGAGAGACCCCAUGAGCUCGUCAAGCUCCUUCUGUGACUGAUCAGAGAUCCCACCGUGAGUCCAGCUCCUGGUCCCAUGCUCUGGAUAUAUCGGUCCCUGGCAGCGUGCAACUCCUUAGCCAAAGACGUGGCAACUGCGGGUGAAGUAUCUCUGGGCAGGAAAUCAAUGCAGAAAUGCAACUGGGGAGAGGGGGCUUGGGGGCCAGUUCCAGGGAGAUUGGAACUGCUGUGUUCUCAUCAGCAGAAGUGGCCCCUGCCCACCCCCAUCCUAAUCCCUUCUCAUGUGGGAGAAGGUCUGUGAGCCCUCUCCCUACCAGGCAGGUUCUAUGGCAAUGUGGGCACAUACCCUGGGGCAGGGGCCGAGGGACUUAACUCACUUCAUGAGCGCCAAUGGAGGAGCGAAGGGAAUGCCUGAUGAAAACAACAUUCUACCAGUAUGCACUGUUUUCUAACCUACAGAGUGCCUCUGUGUUCACUGUCCCAUUUGAGAAUUCUAAGUAGAAUUCUGAACAGGCUGGAGCAGAUUGCCCACCCCAAGGGACAGAUGUUGGCUGGUACUGUUGGUAUUCAUGGAAGAUUCCUUCUGACACUCCCUCCUUCUUUGUAAUUGCCAUGAACUGGAGCACUGGGCCAAUAUAAAUCAUCCAAGGGUGAACACGCUGCACAUGGACGGCUCCUCUUUGUUUUUGAAGGGAUUCCAUCUCUAUUUUGCCAUGUGCUCCUUCACCCCACUCCCCACCCCCGUCUUUCAUUUCUUUCUCUGGAAAAGAUACUUCAACUCACAGGACUGCGAUGUUGAAACGGACACCCAAGAGCAUCACAGAUGGGCCAGGCCUGGACCUCUCGGGACAACAUUCCUCACGACUUUUAGAUAGAAGAGAUUAGAGAUUUGGGACUGGUGGCAACUGGUAACGUUUUCAGUGUUUGGUAAACAGCCAGGGUCCGGAGCUCUGGGAACAGCCUGAUUUAGCUCUUUGUUUAAGUUUUGUGUUAGAGGCUCCCAAGAAGCUGAUGCAGGGGAAAGAAAUUAACAACCAUGGCUCAUUCACAGCCAGGCAGCCAAAUGGACAGCUCUAUAAGACUCAAGCCGACAGCGGAGAGAGUGCAACCAAACAGCCUUGGCCCAGCUUUCAGAGGAGAACGUUAUUCACCCCAACUGCUCUGCAUCUGCCUGGAUGUCUGCCAAGAUCUGUGAGCAUUACAGCGUUGGUAUGCUUUGGGUGAGGCCUGUGGCUAUGGCAACAAGUUGGGAGCAACCCGGUCCCUGGGAAUGAGAACAGUGUCUAAAAUCAGGCAGGCGAGGGGCAGGGAGGAGAGGUAAAGGUUGGACUUGCCUGAAGAUGGAGCCGUUUUAUUGUUGUGGGUAAAGCUGCUACCAUUAGGGGCUGUUUACAGAGUGGGUGCAGCUCAAGCUGGGAGCAUGUUAGACUCAGCGACUACGAUCAACCUAUUGACUUGUUCCCAUGAGACAGAGUAAAUUAACUGUUGCAGUACUGGUCAUGUACCACCAACCUCCUGUGAACCAGCCCUCAGUGAAACAUUUAUGUGAAAGGCCAUGGUGUUCCCAUAAGAGGGUGCAUGUUCUCUCCCUUGACUAACUCUUCAGUAUGCCUCAUUCUCACGCGCUGGUGUGCAGGAAGGAGUCCAACAUGCCCCAUUGACAGUCAUGCCCUGUAUGUGGAAAGUCUUCAGGUAGAGCACUGGGCUCAGGUUUGAAGAUGUGAGUUCUAAUCCUAGCAAGGCCAUUACCUCCCAGUGACCUCAUGUCUCGAUUUCCUCAACCACAAAACAAAGGCAUUGGUGAGCUGACCUCUAAGGCCUCUCCAGUUCUCACCUUCUGUGUCUCUACAGACUGGAGACUAGAAGAUUAUGGGCACUUUUAUUGAGUCUUCAUUUUGUUUCCAUUUCUUUGUAGUCAUCAGCUGGAGUUGAGGACAAGUUUUAACAAUAGAUAGGUUUCUUUUUGUCUCUUUUUAAAAAAUUUUAUUUAAAAUAAAUGCCAAGUGUAGUGGCUCAUACCUGUAAUCCCAGCACUUUGGGGAGGCCAAGGUGGGAGGAUUGCUUUUGAGUUUGAGACCAGCCUGGGCAACGUGGUGAGACCCUGUUUGUACAAAAAAUUUUAAAUUAGCCAGGCAUGGUGGCGUGUGCCUAUAGUCCUAGCUACUCUGGAGGUAGAGGCAGGAGGAUCCCUUGAACCUGGGAGGUUGAGGCCACAGUGAGCUGUGAUUGUGCUAUUGAACUCUAGCCUGGGCAACAGAGCAAGACCCUGUCUCUUAAAAAAGACUAUUUUUUAAGAACACUUUUAGGUUCACAGCGAAAUUUGGAGGAAACUUGGCAUAUGUCAUAUGCCCCCUGCUCCCAUGCAUGCACAGCCUCUACCAUUAGCAAUGUCCCCACUCAAAUGGUACCUUUGUUGUAAUCAACAACCCUGUACUGACACAUCAUCAUCACCCAAACUCCAUAGUUCACAUUAGGUUUCACUCUUGGUGUGGUGUACAUUCCAUGGGCUUGAACAACUGUAUAAUGACAUUAUCCACCACUGCAGGAUCAUACAGAGUAGUCUCACUGCCCUAAAACUACUCUGUGCUCCACCUGUUUGUCCCUUCUUUCACUCUAAACUCCUGGCAACAACUGACCUUUUUACUGCCUCGAUAGCUUUGCCUUCUUCGGAAUGUCAUGUAGUUGAAAUCAUACAUCAUGAAGCCUUUUCAGAUUGGCUUCAUAUAGGUUUCCUUCCUUCCUUCCUCCCACCACCUUCCUUUCUUUCUGUAUUCCUAACUCUUGGAUGUAUUUUCCCCAGCAUCAUGACUUGAUGGGACUUUUGCUAAGAUAGGCAAUCAUAGAAAGUCAUAAAUCUCUUGUCAGCCUUAUUGGCUCACCUCCGAGAUGGUUCCAACACUCUUUAAGGCCCACUUUUCCAAUCCACAGAUUCCCCAGCAGAAGUCCAAGCUGCUGAGCCUCACAUCAUCUUUUGCACUAGUAAUCUUUACCACUACUUCACUGUAGCAUUUGAAAAUUUUCAUAUGAAGCCAUAGUUCUGUGUCUUUUUUUUUUUUUUUUUUUUUUUGGAGACGGAGUCUUAACCUGUUGCCCAGGCUGGAGUGCAGUGGCACAGUCUUAGCUCACUGCAAGCUCCGCCUCACGGGUUCAAGUGAUUCUUGCCUCAGCCUCCCAAGUAGCUGGGAUUACAGGCGCGCCACCAUGCCCAGCUAAAUUUGUUGGCAUUUUUAGUAGAGAUGGGGUUUCACCAUGUUGGCCAGGCUGGUCUCAAACUCCUUACCUCAGGUGAUCUGCCUGCCUCAGCCUCCCAAAGUGCUGGGAUUAAAGGUGUGAGCCACCGCACCUGGCCUGAAGCCAUAGUUCUUAACCUCAGUUGUGCAAUAGAAUUAUCUGGGGAAUUUAAAAAUUAGAAAAAACCCAUGCCCUGAAGAUUGUGAUCUAACUGGUCUUGCGUAGCGCCUGGGCAUUGGUAUUUUUUAAAUGUUUCCCAACUGAUACUAAUGUGGCCAUUCUGCAAGCCACAGUUGAAAGGCUUAUUCAAGCAUCCUGUUGCUGAAUGCAUGUCGUCCUUACCACAUGACUCUGGAGGUUUUCUUGUAUUCUGAUGUGGCUGCCCUGUUGAGGCCUGCCCCUUAGAGUGGAGAUUAUCCCCUGCAGUAGGCUGCCUGGAAUAUGAUCCCCAGUGAUCCCUGCUUCCUGGUAUUCAGGCCCUGGUGUGAUCCCUUUCCCUUGAAGCCUGGGCUGGAUUAGUGACUUGCUUCUAACCAACAGCAUAUGGCAAAAAUAAAUGUUUAUUGUUUUAAA
rnacentral:lncRNA from 1 species